AGUUGUCAUGCAAUAUGUACGUAUGUGUUAGGAUUUACAAAGGGGAACAUCUACCUAAUGUUAGCAUGCAAAGAAUAGGGGAAUUCUACCUAUGUUAUCAUUCAAAGGGUUCUACCUAAUGGGUGCUACCUAAACGAAACAAGAGUCGACGGAUGGAGCGCGGAGAGGAGUUACGGAUAAGGGUAGAUGGCGAUGCCUGGGGCAAUCGACUUACAAGAGGUUGAUGGCGAUGUCUGAGGCAAUCGACUUACAAGAGGAUGGAUCAAUGCGUGCUGGUUCUGUUAAGUUUUGAAAAUGAUUACUCGAUGUUGGAUUGAGAUUUUGAUCUUAUUUUGAAAUGAUUAUCGGAUGUUCGUUUUAAUUCAUGUAUUAACAGGUGACUAAAGAAAUAAAGAAAUAAAUAUUAUACACUUUAUGGGAGAGGGGUACAUUUUUUAUGAAUGGGGAUUGUUCAUGGCAAACAAACAAUAAGAAUAUAUGCCUCAUACUUCAUACAAGUAGGCAACAGUUAUCAAUCGGAUCGGAUAAAUAAACAAUAUAUAAUCAAACCAAAGAAUCAAAUAAUGGAGCAUUUAAAUAAUGCAUGGGAGUAUGAACAUGUUAAAUAAUCAAGCAAUAGAAAGCAUAAUGAGAGAAACAAGUAUAAAAAUAACAGAUUGAACAACAGAUGAAAAUAUGCACACGAAGGGUCCACUGAAUAAUUUAAUCAGGAAAUGAGGUAAGGACCAAAUAAAAUCAAGGUAAAAAGCCUCUAAUACAUGGCAUAUGAGAUGAACGAGGGAGGAUCAAAAUAUCUCUUCAAUUGCCAUAAGCAAUCCCUAAGUCAAACAUCGAUCAUAAAGAAGUCAACUGAAAAUUCAAGUCAACUUAAAAAAUAAUAAAUCAAUAGCAAAUUAAUCAAUAAAAUUAUGGAAAAUUAAACUAAAUAAGGUGGGGUCAGGACAUCAUCAUCCCCCAAAAAGAUUUUAAAAAUAAUGAAAAUUUGCACGUGAAUUAAUUAAAACAAAACAUAGGUUAACCCAAAAGUCAAUUAAUAAGACUAGGUUAGAAAUAAAUCAAGAAUAAAUAGUAAAUUAAUCAAGAAAAUUAUCAAAAAUUAAACUAAGUAAGGUGGGGUCAGGACAUCAUCAUCUCCCAAAAAGAUUUUAAAACUAAUGAAAAUUGGUACGUGGAUUAAUUAAAAUAAAACAGAAGUCAAAUUAAAAGUCAACCAAUCAAACUAGGUCAAAAAUAAAUCCAAAAUAAAUUGAAAAUAUGAAAUAAAAUUCCAAGAAAAGGUCAG
rnacentral:lncRNA from 1 species